rnacentral:rRNA from 1 species
GCUUAACACAUGCAAGUCGAGCGGGCGUAGCAAUACGUCAGCGGCAGACGGGUGAGUAACGCGUGGGAACGUACCUUUUGGUUCGGAACAACACAGGGAAACUUGUGCUAAUACCGGAUAAGCCCUUACGGGGAAAGAUUUAUCGCCGAAAGAUCGGCCCGCGUCUGAUUAGCUAGUUGGUGAGGUAAUGGCUCACCAAGGCGACGAUCAGUAGCUGGUCUGAGAGGAUGAUCAGCCACAUUGGGACUGAGACACGGCCCAAACUCCUACGGGAGGCAGCAGUGGGGAAUAUUGGACAAUGGGCGAAAGCCUGAUCCAGCCAUGCCGCGUGAGUGAUGAAGGCCCUAGGGUUGUAAAGCUCUUUUGUGCGGGAAGAUAAUGACGGUACCGCAAGAAUAAGCCCCGGCUAACUUCGUGCCAGCAGCCGCGGUAAUAC